rnacentral:rRNA from 1 species
CAGCUCACAUGCAGUCGAACGGUAACAGAAGCAAGCUUGCUCUUCGCUGACGAGUGGCGGACGGGUGAGUAAUGUCUGGGAAACUGCCUGAUGGAGGGGGAUAACUACUGGAAACGGUAGCUAAUACCGCAUAACGUCGCAAGACCAAAGAGGGGGACCUUCGGGCCUCUUGCCAUCGGAUGUGCCCAGAUGGGAUUAGCUAGUAGGUGGGGUAACGGCUCACCUAGGCGACGAUCCCUAGCUGGUCUGAGAGGAUGACCAGCCACACUGGAACUGAGACACGGUCCAGACUCCUACGGGAGGCAGCAGUGGGGAAUAUUGCACAAUGGGCGCAAGCCUGAUGCAGCCAUGCCGCGUGUAUGAAGAAGGCCUUCGGGUUGUAAAGUACUUUCAGCGGGGAGGAAGGGAGUAAAGUUAAUACCUUUGCUCAUUGACGUUACCCGCAGAAGAAGCACCGGCUAACUCCGUGCCAGCAGCCGCGGUAAUACGGAGGGUGCAAGCGUUAAUCGGAAUUACUGGGCGUAAAGCGCACGCAGGCGGUUUGUUAAGUCAGAUGUGAAAUCCCCGGGCUCAACCUGGGAACUGCAUCUGAUACUGGCAAGCUUGAGUCUCGUAGAGGGGGGUAGAAUUCCAGGUGUAGCGGUGAAAUGCGUAGAGAUCUGGAGAAUACCGGUGGCGAAGGCGGCCCCCUGGACGAAGACUGACGCUCAUGUGCGAAAGCGUGCGGAGCAGACACGAUUAUAUACCCUGGUAGUCCACGCCAUAUACGAUGUCUACUUGGAGGUUGUGCCCUUUAGGCGUGGCUUCCGAGCUAACGCGUUAAGUCUACCGCAUGGGGAGUAAGGCCGAACGUUAAAACUCAAAUGAAUUGAGGGGGCCCGCACGAGCGGGGUAUCAUGUAAUUUCGAUGAACUUUUUACAUGUCUGACAAGUUUUGA